rnacentral:rRNA from 1 species
AUUGAACGCUGGCGGCAGGCUUAACACAUGCAAGUCGAACGAGUGGCGGACGGGUGAGUAAUGCUUGGGAAUCUAGCUUAUGGAGGGGGAUAACUACUGGAAACUGUAGCUAAUACCGCAUACCAUCGGAUGAGCCCAAGUGGGAUUAGGUAGUUGGUGGGGUAAAGGCUCACCAAGGCGACGAUCCCUAGCUGGUCUGAGAGGAUGACCAGCCACACUGGAACUGAGACACGGCCCAGACUCCUACGGGAGGCAGCAGUGGGGAAUAUUGCGCAAUGGGGGCAAGCCUGAUGCAGCCAUGCCGCGUGAAUGAAGAAGGCCUUCGGGUUGUAAAGUACUUUCGGCGGGGAGGCGUUACCUGCAGAAGAAGCACCGGCUAACUCCGUGCCAGCAGCCGCGGUAAUAC